AAUUUUGUAUCUUGAUGCACACAACUUUAGAGAGUUUCAUGGCCCGGAUACACAGUCUUGUAACCUCUAUUUGACAUGUUUGUCUUUAUCUUUUGGAAAUGUUGCAAUUUAAUCUCUAUUUGUUUUCGAGUAAACUUUAAAGUUUUCAUAACCUCAAUUAAGAAUAAAAUUAGUUGUAAUUUAUAUUUUUCUUGGGUUAUGUAAUAUUAAAUUUUAAAGCCUCAAAUGUAUGUCUAC
rnacentral:lncRNA from 1 species